GCCCGUAUGGUGCAGUGGUCUCAGCAUGUGUCUUUCCGGAAAUGGAAAUUUUACGGACAUGGUCCGGGGUUCAAAUCCCUGUGCGGGUU